GACGAACGCUGGCGGCGUGCCUAAUACAUGCAAGUCGAACGCUUCUUUCCUCCCGAGUGCUUGCACUCAAUUGGAAAGAGGAGUGGCGGACGGGUGAGUAACACGUGGGUAACCUACCCAUCAGAGGGGGAUAACACUUGGAAACAGGUGCUAAUACCGCAUAACAGUUUAUGCCGCAUGGCAUAAGAGUGAAAGGCGCUUUCGGGUGUCGCUGAUGGAUGGACCCGCGGUGCAUUAGCUAGUUGGUGAGGUAACGGCUCACCAAGGCCACGAUGCAUAGACGACCUGAGAGGGGGAUCGGCCACACUGGGACUGAGACACGGACCAGACUCCUACGGGAGGCAGCAGUAGGGAAUCUUCGGCAAUGGACGAAAGUAUGACCGAGCAACGCCGCGUGAGUGAAGAAGGUGUUCGGAUCGUAAAAAUCUGUUGUUAGAGAAGAACAAGGACGUUAGUAACUGAACGUCCCCUGACGGUAUCUAACCAGAAAGCCACGGCUAACUACGUG
rnacentral:rRNA from 1 species